GCAGCAGCAUAGAUAGGGAUGUUAUAAUAGUAGAUCUGAAGACAUGGAUGAUUGUAAUAAAAAUCCAGGUUUAGGAUGUUCGAAUGAAGUAACAUCGUUUAACAUCAGCAUUUGAAUUUUGUUAUCUCAGACCAGUGAUCCUCCAUAGGUGAGCCAGAAGGAGGUCGCACUUGAGAGUCUCCUCGAAAUGCAUCAGAUAAUGGUGAAGUGUAACCUGCAUCAAAUGCUUUUUUAGAUGUUACUUGUUUUUCUGUGAGACGAAGGGCAUAUUUAUUCAAAAGCAAUCGGACAUCAUCCUUGUGAGCAAUUCCAG